UAUGUUCCAGCUGCUCUACAGACGCUGUGACCUCGAACUUAAGCAGGUCGUAAAGUAUGUGCAGCUCAAUAACUUCAUAAUUAGACCCUGUGGUAUUUAGGCAGCAGAACAACUAAGAAUAACAACUACAAAUAAUGUUUUUAGGUUUCUGUUGUACUGCAAGGUUCUGUACAGGAGAACCAAACCAAGAGCAAAUAUUACGUCUCAUUUACACCCGAGCACGAAGAGCCAUUAAAAUUUAUCAAAUUGAAUCAUCUUUGUUUAGAUGCAAGAAGAAUCAUAUAGAAAUGAAAAAGUAUAAAUAUAAAUCCAGAGCAAAGAUAUCCUCUAAAUCAGCGUAGCACAUGUGCAGCUGCUGGGAUUCACUUAAGCAUUCGGCUCGUCGCUGUUGCAGAUUUUUCUCUCGCUGUUCUGGCUCACAGCGCUAAAAGCACAAAAAUAAAUAUCUCCAAAGGUGUGAAAGGGAGCUAAUUAGUAAGAGUAUUGUUACUCUCCCCAGGAGUAGUCCAGCAGUAGAAAUCAGUCCAAUAACAAGGUGUGUAACAUCUAGCAGGGUGACAGAAAAACCCAGAGUAACUUCUAAGGACCUCAACGUCUCUCUCACAUUGCGUUUUUUAAACGUUUCCAUUUGUCACUUCAGUCUUUACUCUGAAAUACAGGAAGAGAAAUCAUGGCUGAAACAAUUUCUCAUGAAACCAGGGGUGUGGUCCAACAGUCAGUUUUGGUGAGGAAGGUUCCUAACUGAGAGAAGUGACCCAGAAGUAUCUGUGUAGGAGCCACAAUGAAUCAAGAUCAUGAGCUUUAUUAACUGAUCAGAGUCUAUUCUUUCAUCUUCUGUAUUAUUCAGUUUGCAUUGGUAAUGCCCAUUAUUGUAAUGCUUUUUUAAGAUGAGUGAAACUUUAUUUUACUUUGGGUUAGCUGGGAUAAGUGAUGGAUGGAGGGAAUUUUACUUCAGUCACAGAAAUCCUAAACAGGAAGGAGGAGCAGAGUUACAGUGGAUCACUAUCCAGCAGGGAAACAAGAUUUAUUUCAAUUUCUUGGCCAUGAGUGAGAUUUACAAAGUGGGCAAAUUAGGGUGAUGACACUGUUCCAGAGUGAUCUAUUAAUAGUGCACCAAUUUACAUUCAGAGAUGCAUGCAGCCAGUUCAUUUCAGUAUUAACCGGCUUUCUACCAACAGCAGCACAAAAACAGCAGAUUCGAUCAUGGAGACACUGAAUCUGCUAAACUAAUUAAAACAUUGUAAGUUCAGGUCUUCAGUUUACGUUUCUUUGUGAAAACAGCACAGCAAAGGAGACUCUGAUAUUUUGGUAUAAGGGAUAAAUCUUCUGACCAAACCUGCUGGGACUGUGUGAGGUCCUGAGGCUAAGAGUAAGGAUUUAUCCACAGGAGAGCUGCGUUCUUACAAACCAUCCCACUGUGUAAACCUGACAUCUGUGGAACAGCUGAGCUGUAUGAUGUGUACAAGGACACAAAACAUUAUUUACCAUCAGAUCCCGAGCCCUCCACGUGUUAAUCAAGAAACUGCUGCUGUGCUACAUCCAUAAAUAAUGAAUAAAUUAGGAGCUAAAGAAGCUAAAAGGACAGUUUAUUUGUACCAUCUUCAUGUGAACACAUUCAAGAACAUCACAGAUGAAAGAAACAUUAAAAACUUCCACACUACAUAAAGCAAGAAAAAUAGUUUUUCUUUCAGGUGGUUUCAGAAAAA